AAGCUGAUCGCCGCAGCCGGUUCGCCCCGUCAGCCAGACGGGCCGCGUCGCAAGAGGGAACCCGGUGGGAAUCCGGGACUGCCCCGCAGCGGUGAGCGGGAACGACCGCCGUCAUACGCACUGGGUCCGCACGGACCUGGGAAGCGACGGCCAGUAGGUGCCUCGUCUACGUACGAGGCGUGCCCGUGAGUCCGAAGACCUGCCGACUGCCCGUGCGUGAG
rnacentral:ncRNA from 1 species